rnacentral:lncRNA from 1 species
CCCACAUCUACAAGAACCCAGACUCAUACGACCCUGACCGGUUCGGUCCUGGCAGGGAGGAGGACAAGGCUGCAGGCGCCUUCUCCUACAUCUCCUUUGGUGGUGGCAGGCACGGUUGCCUCGGCGAGCCCUUCGCCUACCUGCAGAUCAAGGCGAUCUGGACACACCUGCUGAGGAACUUUGAGUUCGAGCUGGUCUCCCCGUUCCCGGAGAAUGACUGGAAUGCUAUGGUUGUCGGCAUC